CUGAAGCCCCUCCACCCCCCCACCUGACACAAGGCCAGCAGUUGGCCAGCCAUGCUGCAGCUCCAUUAAAGACUCAGCCUUCUCCCAGCACCAGCUCCUCUUCAUCUGACAGCCUGUGGCCCAGCCCCUACCCCUAACCCUAGCCCACGGGGCACCAGUCACAGAUUUCUUGGCUUCUCUGCCCCUGUCUGCGGCCAAAGAGGUGCCUCUGGGCAAUCCGCCUGCCACCCCACCACUGUCUGGGAGAUCCACCAUGUGACUCAUAAGCGCUCAUGCUGUCCUGUGCAGCCCACCCCAUCCCAGCCAGCAAAUGCACCCCACCUUCCUGGACUCCUCCGACAGCACCUCCAAGGGUUCAAAGGUGCUGGGUUCCCGCGGAAGGGAGAAGAAGGAGGAGCCAUAGCUGGGCUCAGCAUUAUAGCGCCUGGCGGAGCACUGCGCAAGGCUUCAGCUGAGAUGCUUCACCCGACAUCAUGGGCCAGAACAGACGAAACAGGCAGCGCCUCAGCUCCCCACCUGCCCGAGCCUCUCCUGAGCUCACCUGCAGAAAGGCCAAAAGGGACGGCGCCUAAGAAGGCCCAGCAGACCCGCUCCCUUGGAGGGAAGAGACAGAUUCGCUCUCCUGACGUCCAGUCCAAAGUGCUUUGUUCCCAUAGCAUUGUCUCCUCCCGUUUCCAGGCAAAUCUAACCCAGCCCCAAGAGAACACUUCCCUCCUCUCUGGAUCUUGUUGCCCAGGCUGGAAUGCAAUGGCGUGGUCUUGGCUCACUGCAACCUUCGCCUCCCGGGUUCAAGCGAUUCUCCUGCCUCAGCCUCCCAAAUAACUGGUAUUACAGGUGCCUGCCACCACGCCUAGCUAAUGUUCUAUUUUUGGUAGAGACGGGGUUUCACCACGUUGGCCAGGCUGGUCUUGAACUCCUGACCUAAGGUGAUCCACCCGCCUCGGCCUCCCAAAGUGCUGGGGUUACAGGCGUGAGUCACCGGGCCCGGGCUUCCAGCUCCUUUACUUUCACCCCACUUCAUCUGGCUGCUCUACAAUUCCCACAGUGAGGAGGGCUAACUUAGACCCAUCCACCACGUCCAGAAGUUACCCCUUGUUGGGGGACGGCUGGCCCUCGACUGGGCAUGGAACUCUCUGUUAUUUCAAUACUCCUCAAAGGUUUUAAGUUUGGUCUCUAGUGCCAAAAAAUCUGGCAUGAAAUCUCACUUAUGUCUCUUCUUAGUGUGUGACUUUGUGCACAUUACUGAAC
rnacentral:lncRNA from 1 species